UGGUAGUUUGGUUCUGGUUACCUUUGCUUAGCUAUUAAUUUGGUCAAUUAACACAUGGUAGUUUAUGCAGUGAAUGCGUAUACCGGUUCUUUUUCAUUAAUUAGUGUUUGUUGCUUUUUUUUGGAGAAGUUUACGUUUGAACAAUCAGAGGAAUUCGAGGACUGUUAAUAAUUUAUUUCAUACCUCCAGUGGAUAGAUUUUAACCAUGAGCGCCAGCUUGAUUAAGCUAUUGUUGAUUAGAGGAGUCCAACCAGGUGCCAGCAGUCGCGGUUAGACCUGAGUAACUCAAGUUAAGUGGUAAAGUGCAAAAGGUGGUUAGACGGCCUGCUCUAUUGUGGAGAGUUAUUAUUAAAAAUUAGGGAGCCUACCCCGAGGGGAAGGGGUGUAAUCCGGGUCUCCCUCGGAGGAAGGGGGAAAUGUUUCCUUUGGGCUGAGGCCACGGAACCGGGAAGCCGAAGACAUGGAUUUGAGACCCAUUUAUUACCGACGCAAACUUUGCUUUUCAGGCAGCUGCUUGGGGACUACGAGCGUGUGCUUAAAACUCAAAGAACUUGGCGGCUUGUUAACUACCUAGGGGAAUAUGUGCCUUAAUCCGAUGAUCCCCGUCGCAUCUUACUAGGCCUUGAAAAAGUGCAGCUGGUGUAUUGCCGUUGUCAGCUUGUUGUUCGAGCAAGGAGUAACAGGCUCAAUGGAGCCGUAGCGAUUGUAUCGUUGGUGUCCGUGAAUUCAGGUCGUAAUACCGCCCACGGCCUAAGGGAGUAGGUGUUACAAUUUAGAUUUAAAAAUACGGAUCUUUAUUUUGAAAUAUUAGGGUGAAGGUGAACUUAGGAGUAAGGGGGAAUUAAUAUGUCUCCCUGAACAUGAAUCUGGCUUGUGUACAAACUGCCCGUCGCUCUCGCCGAGAGGUGAGAUAAGUCGUAACAAGGUAGGGGUACUGGAAGGUGCGCCCUGAUUAAG